UUCGAUUGUGCCAGCAGCCGCGGUAAUACGUAGGUGGCAAGCGUUGUCCGGAUUUAUUGGGUUUAAAGGGUGCGUAGGCGGCUUGUUAAGUCAGUGGUAAAAGGUAGCAGCUUAACUGUUUUACGUGCCAUUGAUACUGGCAAGCUUGAGAGUUUUAGAGGAUGAUAGAAUUUCUGAUGUAGCGGUGAAAUGCUUAGAUAUCAGGAGGAAUACCAAUUGCGAAGGCAGUCAUCUGUGAAAUUUCUGACGCUGAGGCACGAAAGUGCGGGUAUCAAACAGGAUUAGAUACCCUGGUAGUCCACGCCGUAAACGAUGUCGAUUUGGAGGCUGUGUCCUUGAGGCGUGGCUUCCGGAGCUAACGCGUUAAAUCGACCGCCUGGGGAGUACGGCC
rnacentral:rRNA from 1 species